rnacentral:rRNA from 1 species
GCCAGACUCCUACGGGAGGCAGCAGUGAGGAAUAUUGGUCAAUGGGCGGAAGCCUGAACCAGCCAAGUCGCGUGAGUGAAGAAGUAUUUCGGUAUGUAAAGCUCUAUCAGCAGGGACGAAAAUGACGGUACCUGAGUAAGAAGCCCCGGCUAACUACGUGCCAGCAGCCGCGGCAAUACGUAGGGGGCAAGCGUUAUCCGGAUUUACUGGGUGUAAAGGGAGCGUAGACGGUUAUGCAAGUCUGGAGUGAAAGGCGGGGGCUCAACCCCCGGACUGCCCUGGAAACUGUAGAACUAGAGUGCAGGAGGGGUAAGUGGAAUUCCUAGUGUAGCGGUGAAAUGCGUAGAUAUUAGGAGGAACACCAGUGGCGAAGGCGGCUUACUGGACUGUAACUGACGUUGAGGCUCGAAAGCGUGGGGAGCAAACAGGAUUAGAUACCCUUGUA